CCUCCUUUUCUUGGCAUCUCUGAACUCUCCCCAUGUUUAUGAGAUGAAUGCAACCAGGAGGAAGAUUAACAUGAUGAACCUUCGGUGUCAGGGUUCUUAUUGUGCCCUGGUCCCAUCCUCUAGCAUCAUUACAGGG